rnacentral:sRNA from 3 species
AUAUCUCUCUGUACGGGAAGGAUGAGAAGCUUCUACCAGGGUUCGAUUCGAGCGCAGCGAGAAAGCGUUGCCGCAGGCA